rnacentral:hammerhead_ribozyme from 1 species
AUGCAGUUGACGAGCCUCAAAUAGGACGAAACGAGUGUCCUGGAU